rnacentral:rRNA from 1 species
UACGUAGGGUGCAAGCGUUGUCCGGAAUUAUUGGGCGUAAAGAGCUCGUAGGCGGUGUGUCGCGUCGGCCGUGAAAACCUGCAGCUUAACUGUGGGCUUGCGGUCGAUACGGGCAUCACUGGAGUUCGGCAGGGGAGACUGGAAUUCCUGGUGUAGCGGUGAAAUGCGCAGAUAUCAGGAGGAACACCGGUGGCGAAGGCGGCAUUCUGGACCGACAUUGACGCUGAGGAGCGAAAGCCAGGGGAGCAAACGGG